CCGUGCCCCAAUUUUUUAUGUGAGAUCAGAACUAUGUUCUUUAUGAGUUGUUUUUGCUUGUUGCACCGGAUGAUCUUGGGGAUUCUGGCUAUUUUUGCUCCGGGAGAUCUUUGAGAUCUUUGCCGGUCUUCUACCUCAGUGAGGUCUUUUGCCUCAUUGAGGUCUUCUGCCUCUUUGAGGUCUUCUGCCUCUUUGAGGUCUUCUGCCUCAUUGAGGUCUUCUGCCUCAUUGAGGUCUUCUGCCUUUUUGAGGUCUUCUGCCUCUUUUGAGGUCUUCUGCCUCAUUGAGGUCUUCUACCUCUUUGAGGUCUUCUGCCUCUUUGAGGUCUUCU
rnacentral:lncRNA from 1 species